rnacentral:rRNA from 1 species
GACGAACGCUGGCGGCGUGCUUAACACAUGCAAGUCGAACGGAAAGGCCCUGCUUUUGUGGGGUGCUCGAGUGGCGAACGGGUGAGUAACACGUGAGUAACCUGCCCUUGACUUUGGGAUAACUUCAGGAAACUGGGGCUAAUACCGGAUAGGAGCUCCUGCUGCAUGGUGGGGGUUGGAAAGCUUCGGCGGUUGGGGAUGGACUCGCGGCUUAUCAGCUUGUUGGUGGGGUAGUGGCUUACCAAGGCUUUGACGGGUAGCCGGCUUGAGAGGGUGACCGGCCACAUUGGGACUGAGAUACGGCCCAGACUCCUACGGGAGGCAGCAGUGGGGAAUAUUGCACAAUGGGCGGAAGCCUGAUGCAGCAACGCCGCGUGCGGGAUGACGGCCUUCGGGUUGUAAACCGCUUUCGCCUGUGACGAAGCGUGAGUGACGGUAAUGGGUAAAGAAGCACCGGCUAACUACGUG